GACGAACGCUGGCGGCGUGCUUAACACAUGCAAGUCGAACGGAAAGGCCCUGCUUUUGUGGGGUGCUCGAGUGGCGAACGGGUGAGUAACACGUGAGUAACCUGCCCUUGACUUUGGGAUAACUUCAGGAAACUGGGGCUAAUACCGGAUAGGAGCUCCUGCUGCAUGGUGGGGGUUGGAAAGUUUCGGCGGUUGGGGAUGGACUCGCGGCUUAUCAGCUUGUUGGUGGGGUAGUGGCUUACCAAGGCUUUGACGGGUAGCCGGCCUGGGAGGGUGACCGGCCCAUUGGGACACGGAUACGGGCCAGAGUCCUGCGGGGGGGAGCGGUGGGGGAUAUUUCACAAAGGGCGGGAGCCCGGUGGAGGAACGCCGCGUGGGGGAUGACGGCCUUCGGGUUGUAAACCGCUUUCGCCUGUGACGAAGCGUGAGUGACGGUAAUGGGUAAAGAAGCACCGGCUAACUACGUG
rnacentral:rRNA from 1 species